rnacentral:lncRNA from 1 species
AAUGGAACCUCGAUUCGCAUCACCAUAACCUUGAAAAUAAUAUUCUGAGCAAAAGAGGCCAGGUCCAAUAGGUCACACAGUGUAAAGUACCAUUUGCAGGGAGUGCACAGAACAGAAGAGUCAGAACUCUGUGGAGCUAAUAAGCAGGCUUGUGGUUAUAGAGGGGACAAGGGGAAGGAAAAGAGUGGCUGACAGCUUAUUGGAGGCUGGGUCUCCUUGGGGAGAUGAAGGGAGAAGGGAUGGCUGUUUUGUGCUGGUUUUGUUUUUUUGUUUUUGGUUUUUCGAGACUGGGUUUCUCUGCAGCCCUGGCUGUCCUGGAACUCACUCUGAAGACCAAGCUGGCCUCGAACUCAGAGAUCCACCAGCCUCUGCCUCCCAAGUGCUGGGAUUAAAGGCAUGCACCACCACGCCCGGCUCUGUUUUGUGCUGGUAAUGUGGCCGGUGACACACUUUCCAGUGCUGAUGGCUGUGCUGUACAAGCCUUUGCUCAGUUGGGUGGAGCAGAUGAACUCUGGGGAUAUGAUGCUGAAUAGGUGACUUUUGAAAAUGGAAGGGAAGGCUCAAGGAAUAGCUCGAAUGAGCAGAGACGGCGAGUGUCUAUGAGAUGAUGACAGGGGCUGGGGAGAUGCUCAGUGGUGAAGUGUUUACACAAAGACCCGAGUUCCACCACUGGCACCAACAUAAAGAGACAGGCAUGCUGUUGUGCCUGUGAACCCACUCCUGGGGAGUUCCCUGGCUAGUCAGUGUAGCUGAAUGGGCAAGUUCCAGGUUUAGGUCUUAAAAAUAAGGUGAAGGAGCUGGAGAGAUGGC